AUUGUAAUCUCUCUAUCUACAUCUGGGACAAGAUCACAACUUGAUACAUCGGUGCUCUUCUGUGUCGACCCAUCGAUCGAUGUUGAGGUCUUGUCAUCGGUCGACAUUAAGGUCUUACUGUCGAUCGAUGUUGAGGUGCUGGUGUCAUUUGAUGUUGAGGUCGGAUAACUUGUCUCAUCUUCUUCUCUUUUGCUCGACUCUCCAAAUCCAUGUUGUUCAUCCCUUUUUGCCAUAAUUUUGUCGAGCAGUUGUAUUGGAAUCAUAUACUCCUCAUCUAACAAUGCCAAGAACAUGUCCCAUUUAUCAUUUUUCUCCUUUUCUCGAGUUGCUUUAGCAUCAUCAAGAAAUUUGUAAAAUAAGGUUCUUUCAAUGUCAUACCAGCUGGUUAGAGAUCUUGGUUGUAGUUGACUGAACCAGCUAAAUGCAUCCCCAAAGAUAGACUAGGGAAGAUCUUACAGAGCAUGUGGUAUUCAGACACUUCAUUCUGCUCACUCCUUGACACGAGAUCCUCCAGCUCUUCGAUGUGGUUUCUGGGAUCUUGGUGAGGAAGACCCUGGAAGGGGUCUUGACCUACCCAAUCAUACCACUCUCGGCUAAAGUCAAAGUCAUUCAUCUCAGCAACAACAAUCACAUUAGGGAUCACAGCACCCUGAGCAUUAAUCAAUUGUCAUGCGAUGUUGCGGGUGCGACCUUUUUCGUCUCU
rnacentral:lncRNA from 1 species